AUGGGCAUGACCCAAUAGAAAAUAAGUGGGCAUGGCCUAAUAUGAAAUAAAAAUAAAUGGACUUGGCCCAAGUAGGAAAAAUGGAGAAGCCCAUGGAGAGGGCCCAAAAGUCAUAAAGAAAUGAAAAGGCCCAAUGAAAAGUUAUCGUGGAGGCUUGCCGAACGAAGUAUGUGACCGACAAAUAGGAAUAAUUAUACGCGUACGAAUCAAUAGUGAAGUAAUAUCCCACUAUUAUGAGGUGAGUAGGGGGUGUCAACUUUAAAAAUUUCGUAUAUAUAUAUACAUGUACGUAUAUUUUACGUGAAGUGCAAAAUUUAUGGAAAGCAUGCGUUGAUAGAAUUUUAA